AGUGAACGCUGGCGGCAGGCCUAACACAUGCAAGUCGAACGGCAGCACAGGAGAGCUUGCUCUCUGGGUGGCGAGUGGCGGACGGGUGAGGAAUACAUCGGAAUCUACCUUUUCGUGGGGGAUAACGUAGGGAAACUUACGCUAAUACCGCAUACGACCUUAGGGUGAAAGCGGAGGACCUUCGGGCUUCGCGCGGAUAGAUGAGCCGAUGUCGGAUUAGCUAGUUGGCGGGGUAAAGGCCCACCAAGGCGACGAUCCGUAGCUGGUCUGAGAGGAUGAUCAGCCACACUGGAACUGAGACACGGUCCAGACUCCUACGGGAGGCAGCAGUGGGGAAUAUUGGACAAUGGGCGCAAGCCUGAUCCAGCCAUGCCGCGUGGGCGAAGAAGGCCUUCGGGUUGUAAAGCCCUUUUGUUGGGAAAGAAAAGCAGCCGGUUAAUACCCGGUUGUUCUGACGGUACCCAAAGAAUAAGCACCGGCUAACUUCGUGCCAGCCGCCGCGGUAA
rnacentral:rRNA from 1 species